rnacentral:ncRNA from 1 species
GGCAUCUCAAAGGGGUGCUCCGAAAUUUGGGAGCUGAGAUUAUACCCAUUGACCUGAUCAGGUUAGUACCUGCGUAGGAAUAUGAGAAAGCGUGUUAA